GGUAGUCAAGCGACUUAGGGGCUAGGGUGUUGGGCGAGUCAUCAGAACUGAUGCUGAGGUCACCAAGAAUGAUGACAGUGGAGGAGAAAGAGCCCAGUGCUGAAAUCAUCAAGGGACAGAGGAAGUAACCAGAAGGAUAAUAAGGUGACACUAAUGAGAAGUGGUGGGUAGCAAGCUCUGUUGCCAUGUAUUCCAUAGGAGCUGGGUUUUUGAAGGAAGAAUAAGAAUCAGAUUGGAAGCUUCCAUGGCCAUAUCAUCUACUUCCUGCUGUCUUCAUCGUUCUUCUUCCGUGUGGAUUUCUUAUUUCAUCAAUUAGAGGCAAGUUUGGGCAGAACCCCAGCUAUGCCAUUUUUGCACGCGCUCCAGGCCAGCACAGCACCUGAUACAUAACGGGCCUUCAGAAAUGUUUGUUGCAGGAGUUGGAUACAAAUGCGUGAUUACGACUACACACUCCUGCCUGUUACCUGCCACAGGCUACAAAUACUCAAGUAUUUAUCUGUAUACCUUUGCUCCUGGUACCUUAAAAAAAGCUAAGGAGAGCUCAGAAAAUGCAUUAUAGUCUGAAAGCAAAGAAAGAGAGGAAGUCUUUGUCAAGGAUGCAUUAUUUUAACAUUCCCAGCUUUCCCACAUCAUGGCAGGGCGUGGGUCACCUAUGGUGAUGAGGACACAACAGGGGUGCCCUGAAUCUUUGCUUCCAUGUCCAGUUCCUGAACAGGCUCCCAAGUAGGUUCUGGAACCUGCAGCCUUAGCUCACACCAUUUCCCGCACUGGGCUGGCAACCCUCGGGCACCUUGCCAGGGCACAGUGUCACGUGGCAAACUGCUCUCUCUUCCCUGGCACUUGGACUCCAGGGCCCUGCACCCCAUCAGGCCCGCUGCCCCAGGCGAAUCCAAAGGCAGAAUGUGGUCAGGGAGUCUGAGAGGGGGGGUCCUUAAGUGGGGAGCAGUAGAGGCGCCCACCAGCCCAGGCCUGAUGUUCUGCGGGCUUCUUGAAUUCAUUCGCUUCCAGACCUUUUCAGCCUUGCCAAGCCCUGUGUGAAAGAUCAGAACAGCUGGAAAUUUCUAGCAGGAGAGUGCCAGGUGCUGAACAUGUCCCGGUCUGACUUAGAAACAGUUAGGGGCCGGGGCUGUUUGGGGUUGGCAUUCUUGCCUUUGCCAGGCAGGCAGGAACUGCUCUCUCUUGGAAGGCACUGCCACCCCCGAGCCUGGGCUGGAGCUGCAAUAAACCCAGGACACCAGGCUGGGGACGGAAACCAGGAGCCUCCAACCUCCCAAGCCCCAGGAGGACACAAAGGGCCUCCUCUCCGGGCGAAGCAGAAGGGGACGGGCUGACCAGGGAGGGCCGGACCGUCACCCAGUCAAAGCCAGGCGGCUGCAAAUGAAACACAGGCCUAGAAGGCUCCAACAGGCACUCUGUCUUUCCCAGAGCCAAGAAAUCCUGGCUAGAAACUUGACUAUGGAGUAAGGCAAGGCACCGGGAAAUACUUGAAACCAGGCGAGACCCCUGGUAAUGUUGGACUCCGGACAAACAAGGGCUGAGCCAAGUGCUUUUCCCCCACCUGGCCCAGACACAAAAGCUGAGCUGGCCAGCGAAGACCCAGGGGAGGCGGCAGAGGAGCAGGGGAGGGACCCAGCAGGAAGAGGAAACCUGGCAGCAGGGUCAUUUUUACCCUGCUCAGACAGCAGAGCUCUCGCACAGCAAGUCUGCAGAGGGGAGAGUUCCCACUUGGCUUCACACAAGGCCAAGGUCACCCAGGCCUUCUGGAGGCUCUCACGAGGGGCUCUGGAAACUACAACGCAACACGCGGCGACCAGGACCAGGCUGCAGGAGCCAGCUCCCGUUUGAAGGAGGGGAGUUGGUAGGGGCAGCUGCUGAGGAAGCCCAGCACCCCGCCCCCAGCCCCAGGCUGUGGCAGGACUGAGCUUCGCCCUCAGGACUAGCUCAAUCCUUACAUUGCAGGCUCAGCCUGCUUCAUUUUAUUUUAUUUUGAAAAUUUUAUUUAUUUAUUGUUAUUUUUAAGAACAGAUUUAUUUAUUUGGCCGCACCGGGUCUUAGU